GUGGGUGUAGUUCAAUUGGCAGAGCACCAGACUGUGGAUCUGGUUGUUGUGGGUUCGAGCCCCAUCACCCACCCA
rnacentral:tRNA from 1 species